rnacentral:rRNA from 1 species
GGCUACACAUGCAAGUCGAGCGGCAGCGGGAAAGUAGCUUGCUACUUUUGCCGGCGAGCGGCGGACGGGUGAGUAAUGCCUGGGGAUCUGCCCAGUCGAGGGGGAUAACAGUUGGAAACGACUGCUAAUACCGCAUACGCCCUACGGGGGAAAGGAGGGGACCUUCGGGCCUUUCGCGAUUGGAUGAACCCAGGUGGGAUUAGCUAGUUGGUGGGGUAAUGGCUCACCAAGGCGACGAUCCCUAGCUGGUCUGAGAGGAUGAUCAGCCGCACUGGAACUGAGACACGGUCCAGACUCCUACGGGAGGCAGCAGUGGGGAAUAUUGCACAAUGGGGGAAACCCUGAUGCAGCCAUGCCGCGUGUGUGAAGAAGGCCUUCGGGUUGUAAAGCACUUUCAGCGAGGAGGAAAGGUUGGCGCCUAAUACGUGUCAACUGUGACGUUACUCGCAGAAGAAGCACCGGCUAACUCCGUGCCAGCAGCCGCGGUAAUACGGAGGGUGCAAGCGUUAAUCG